GGAUUACUCCUUUACGCUUUCGCGUUUGGUUGAUAAAGAUUCGCACCUCUAUCAAACCGGGUAAUCCCACCUCUUGGCAAGACCUGCUGUCAGAUCAAAUCUGAACUACUACAACUUAACCUUACACGUGCCGUACAACUGUGCAUUGAUAUUGGCAGCCAUAUUCUCAGCCAUACCAAUUGCCCGGCACCACAAACUAUGGGUAGUGUAU
rnacentral:sRNA from 1 species